rnacentral:lncRNA from 1 species
UACCGAUCACAUCCUAUUUCAUGAGAUUUUUGAAAAUUUUGCUUCCUCUAUAUAGUUGGCUCACAAAGUUGUACACUAGCAUAUAACCUACCAAACAAGUUAUACCACAUUAGUAGGCACGUUAUAAUUCCGAUGACUAAAAUUCACAAAAUAAAAAUUGACCGUAUGAUGUGAUCAUUAUAGUGAAACAUGGCUAUGGUAUAAAAUUUAACUGGAUUCAACAAUGUUCGGGGCUCGAUCAAAGCGGUCAACCCUAAUUUAUUUUUACUUCUCACACGAAAACUAUCUUACCUACCUCUUCGUGACCUAGUUUGGUGGAUUUUUCAACACAAAAAAGUGUCACAUAGAUGAGACAUAACCACCCAUGUAAAACUUUGGGACCGUUUACCACCUGAGGAUAGGGCUCUCCUUAGUGAAGCAUAAGCGUAAAUAGGGUUGACCGUUUCGAUCGGAGCCUAAACAUUGGCGAAUUAAAGUGAUUUUUCCACCGUAGCUGUAUUUUACUAUAUCGAUCACAUCAUAUUUCACGAGAUUUUUAAAAAUUUUGCUUCCUCUAUAUAGUUGGUUCACAAAGUUGUACACUAACAUAUAACAUAUCAAACAAGUUAUAAUACUUUAGUAGGCAUGUUAUGAUUUCGAUGACUAAAAUUCACAAAAUGAAAAUUGACCGUAUAAUGUGAUCAUUAUAGUGAAACAUGGCUAUGGUAUAAAAUUCAACUGGAUUCAACAAUGUUCGGGGCUCGAUCAAAGCGGUCAACCCUAAUUCAUAUUCACUUAUCACACGAAAACUAUCUUACCUACCUCUUUGUGACCUAGUUUGGUGGAUUCUUCAACACAAUAAAGUCUCACAUAGAUGAGAUAUAACCACCCAUGUAAAACUUUGGGGACGUUUACCUCCCGAGGAUAGGGCUCUCCUUAGUGAAGCAUAAACGUAAAUAGGGUUGACCGCUUCGAUCGGGACCAAAACUUUGGUAAAUUAAAGUGAUUUUUCUACCGUAGCCAUAUUUUACUAUACCGAUCACAUCCUAUUUCACAAGAUUUUUGAAAAUUUUGCUUUCUCCAUAUAGUUCGUUCACAAAGUUGUACACUAGCAUAUAACCUACCAAACAAGUUAUACCACAUUAGUAGGUACGUUGUGAUUCAAAUUACUAAAAUUCAGACGCAGUUGUGAAGUGGGUCCCGCCUGUGGUCCGUGACAUUUUUCGGUGAAUUUUUCCGACACUGGAGCUAUUUUCUAUGCAUUUUUAAAGUUUUGAAAUGGUGGAAAAAAAAGUAAAACUUUAAUGACAUUGACAGAUUAGUGACUUAGGACGAAUGAGGUUGUAACAUGUGGCAAUUAGUGUUGAAUUUUCAGAAAAGGAAUCCCCCGAAAUGGAAACUUACCAUUUCUUUUAUAGUAGAUUUCCAUAAAUAGUAACUUUUGUUUUUAAAGCAUAAUUAUCCCCCAAAAUGGAAACUUACCCUUCCUUUUAUAGUUGAUUUCCAUAAAUAGUAACUUUUAUUUUUAGAG